AUUGAACGCUGGCGGCAGGCUUAACACAUGCAAGUCGAACGAGUGGCGGACGGGUGAGUAAUGCAUGGGAAACUGGCUGAUGGAGGGGGAUAACUACGGGAAACAGUAGCUAAUACCGCUUACCAUAGGAUGAGCCCAAAUGGGAUUAGGUAGUUGGUGAGGUAAAGGCUCACCAAGCCGACGAUCUCUAGCUGGUCUGAGAGGAUGACCAGCCACACUGGGACUGAGACACGGCCCAGACUCCUACGGGAGGCAGCAGUGGGUAAUAUUGCACAAUGGGCGCAACCCUGACGCAGCCAUGCCGCGUGAAUGAAGAAGGCCUUCGGGUUGUAAAGUACUUUCGGCAGAGAGGCGUUAACUACAGAAGAAGCACCGGCUAACUCCGUGCCAGCAGCCGCGGUAAUAC
rnacentral:rRNA from 1 species